rnacentral:lncRNA from 1 species
GAUGCUGAAAUCGCCAUUCAUGGACACAUUGUGCGAGACCUCCGAGUAGAAGUCGCCAGACGAGGCACCGCCAUGGCCUGCGCCCUCGAGCAUCAUCUGGCGCUCCGUCUGGUCAAGGUCGGAGGCGAGCGCGGCGAGAUCGAGCUCGGAGAAGAAGGGCCCCUGCAAGACGGUGUUGACGCAGUGGACGGCGCAAAGCUUCGACUCCUGCAUCUCGUGGUACAGCAGCCCGCCGUUGCUGGGGCCUUCCAUUCCUGACGCCCA